GAUGAAGAACGUAGCGAAAUGCGAUAAGUAGUGUGAAUUGCAGAAUUCAGUGAAUCAUCGAAUCUUUGAACGCACAUUGCGCCCCUUGGUAUUCCAUGGGGCAUGCCUGUUCGAGCGUCAUUUGUACCUUCAAGCUUUGCUUGGUGUUGGGUGUUUGUCUCGCCUUUGCGUGUAGACUCGCCUUAAAAUAAUUGGCAGCCGGCGUAUUGAUUUCGGAGCGCGGUACAUCUCGCGCUUUGCACUCAUAACGACAGCGUCCAAAAGUACAUUUUACACUCUUGACCUCGGAUCAGGUAGGGAUACCCGCUGAACUUAAGCAUAUCAAUAAGCGGAGGA
rnacentral:misc_RNA from 1 species